AAGCAGACCAGCUCGGGAUGGGCUCCCCGGAGCCCCUGCCUCAUGAAAGCCACCGAGCCAGCCCGGCGGCUGCUGCUGCUGGUGCCCGCUUUGUCUGAGGCCAAAGGGUGGCACUGGCAAUGGGGGCGGGGCGCCCACAGCAAGGGGUUGUUCCCCAAGCCUAGCCAUCUAGGAAGGCUUCCUGGAAGAGGAGCAACGGAGCUAGGAUGUUGCUGAACUGCAGCCAGAUGCUGGAAGGAAGAAGCUACACGCUUCCCUGAAGAGGACCCAAAGUGAAACAGCCACUGUGAGUGCCACUUUGAAACCUCCGAGGACAGUGUAACACACCUCCUCAAUUGUGGAUGCAUGGCCCUCUGGCCCGAAAUUCGGGAUCCUUCGUGUUACCUCUAAUUUGCUGUGCCCUGGUCUUACCUGAAGCUACUCUGGGUUUAUCCAGGUGAUUAAUUCUUCCACACCUGAAGCAGUUCUGCGAGAUGACUGUGUAUCGUUUUCAUUUAACUGAUGUGGAAACUGAGGUACAGAGGGGUUGUACCACUCCUGGGUGGCAAUGCUGGGAAAGACCCUCGGCAGGCUGGUUCUAGAAGCUUCCCCGAUUCCACACUAUGCCAAUGCUCUGCCACCAAGCCACACUCUUAUCUCAAGAUGGAACUGAAGUCCAGUGAGCCAGACGCUUAUAGCAGCAAGACCAGAAUCCUGUGAACUGGCUGCCUGCCUGACUCAUACCUCUUCAGCUGAUGGGCUUGACUUUAUCACCAACCGAUCUCCAUGGCCUGGGACCACUGACCCCUGCCUGACCUUGUACUCUCAAGUCUGCCCAUCUGUAAAAUGGAAGCCUGAGCUAAUUCCAGGGGUGCAAGGAAGCCAUGAGGAUGGCUGUUCAGAAAUCAGAGCCUCAGAGACCUUCAGCUCCACCCGGUUUCAUGUUGAGAUGAAAAGAGUCUACACAUGCCUGUGGACCUGAUUCAUGAAGUCACCCUCACAUUCCGGGGAACUGCUUUCAGGCUUUUAAUCCGUUGAAGGUAUCUGGAACUCCCCCGUGGAAGACUGGGUCUGCCACCCUAGGCUUAAGAUGCUUGGCCCGGAUAAAAGGAAACUGCCCGUGGCACUAGGUCGGAUUCGGAGGGGACUCUCCGUGCGCCUCCGCCUCCGCAGCCUCUGGCCUUGGCAUCUCCGCAGCAGGAGCUGGGAAACUUAGGUCUCACAGGUCCACCACCACACAGGGAUAAUCAGCAGGGCCUGUCUAGACUGUGUUGAGGACUCCGAAGCAGCCUGCAGGCAUGGCAGGGAGGGCUGCUGCCAUCCCCAGGGACGUCACUGGAUGGAGUAGAAGCAGUAUAGCUGGCAGGUAUUUGUCGUCUGGAUUUACUGGCUGUGAAGGGACGGAGGGAACCAAAGACACAAGAAAAAAAUGGACUCCUUAAGAUCUCUUGGUGACAAUAUCAAAGUUACAACUACCAA